rnacentral:misc_RNA from 1 species
CUCAGUCCUGGUCCCAUGACUCUUGUCUCCUCUUUCUUCUCUGACAACUACCCCGACUCCGAUUGCCGCUCCUUCUCUCAGCUACUUGCUGGCGCCAUGGCUUCUCCAAUUGCCAGGCCGGCCUUUUUCACUGACACUUCUGUGCCCAAUGAUUAUACUUCUUCUGUGAAGCAGGAUGGGGAGGAGAAUAAUACUAAUUUGGGGUUUAAGCAGAGUAGGCCUAUGAAUUUGUUGUUGGCUCCUUCUCCACUGUUUACUGUCCCUCCUGGGUUGAGCCCUUCUGGUUUGCUAAACUCGCCUGGGUUCUUUUCUCCUCCUCAGAGUCCCUUUGGAAUGUCCCACCAGCAAGCCUUGGCACAGGUUACAGCUCAAGCUGCUCUAGCUGCUCAAUCUCAUAUGCACAUGCAAGCUCAAUAUCAACCUGCUCCAGUA